rnacentral:rRNA from 1 species
UUUAAAUUGAGAGUUUGAUCCUGGCUCAGGACGAACGCUGGCGGCGUGCCUAACACAUGCAAGUCGAGCGAUGAAACUUCCUUCGGGAAGUGGAUUAGCGGCGGACGGGUGAGUAACACGUGGGUAACCUGCCUCAAAGAGGGGGAUAGCCUCCCGAAAGGGAGAUUAAUACCGCAUAACAUUAUUUUAUGGCAUCAUAAAAUAAUCAAAGGAGCAAUCCGCUUUGAGAUGGACCCGCGGCGCAUUAGCUAGUUGGUGAGGUAACGGCUCACCA